rnacentral:rRNA from 1 species
UACGUAGGGUGCGAGCGUUGUCCGGAAUUACUGGGCGUAAAGCGCACGUAGGCGGCUUUGUAAGUUAGAGGUGAAAGCCCAGGGCUUAACCCUGGAAUUGCCUUUAAGACUGCAUCGCUAGAAUCGUGGAGAGGUAAGUGGAAUUCCGAGUGUAGAGGUGAAAUUCGUAGAUAUUCGGAAGAACACCAGUGGCGAAGGCGACUUACUGGACACGUAUUGACGCUGAGGUGCGAAAGCGUGGGGAGCAAACAGG